UUAGCCUGGUUCUAGGCGGCCAUUUGUUUCACCCAAAGGCCGAUGACCACAAAGUGAUCAUAUCUUUUGCUUUAGUAACAUUUUUUAGGUGUUUUUUUUAAGCCUCUGUAAAAUUCUUUUGUCUGCUUGCAUGUGUUCAACAUUAGUUUCAGAUCUUUAUUUUUCUUUCAGUUUAUGUUUUUAGUUUUUUUCUUUAAAAAACAUCUUAAGGGGUAAACAACUAAAAGCAGUUAUCUAAAGAAUUGAUGUUAAUAACAGUUCUAGUUUUUUUAUUUCAGAUUUACAUGUUUUAGGAUGCAGAAAACAUUUUAGCUUGAGCUGAUGCCACCUGGAGGAUACAGAGGAGGCGGUGAAGCUCCGAUUUCUACGGUGGCCCUGAAGUACAAAUCAACAAAUCACUCAUCACAAAAACACAUCAAAGAUCACAAUGACAAUUAAGAAAAGCAAAACUAAAUUCUAGAAGCCAAAAUGUAUUUAAAAAAAUAAAUCUCUCUCUCUCUCUCUCUCUCUAUAUAUAUAUAUGUAACCCGGAUCAGUGCCCCACUUGCAUUACCAGAUUUGAAACACCUGAGCGCUCUUAUUUUGGUGGGGCCAGUUCCCUAUAUUAACAUCCGGGUCACAUAGCCACUUCCUGUCAUCCAUGCUCUGGCUGUUGCUGAUCUGCUGUGGCUGGCUGCAUCUCCUAUAGCUGUCGGCUAUCUAAACUUGAAACAAAACUCUGUAACAUCUUACUGGACUAGUUCUUCGAACAACCACACCUUGAACUAACUACUCUUCGGUCAGGUUUUUUUUUCCACCCCCACUUCUAUCCUUAUGGGAAGAACUUUUUGAUCUGCACCAUAUAGGAAUGGUGCAUGGCGAGCUACCCACGAACUCUCAAUGAAAAACUUGAUUUACGAACCUAGGAAAAAGGAACUUCGCAAAAGACGCCAUACCCAAAGGAAAAAGGAACUUUGAACACCAAA